GACAGAGGCCUCAAGCGUUAGGCGGAAUCACUGGGCUUAAAGCGUGUGUAGGCGGACUUCUAAGUGCCUUGUGAAAUCCCACGGCUCAACCGUGGAACUGCUGGGCAUACUGGGGAGUCUUGGGCCAUUCAGGGGCAACUGGAACAAGCGGUGGAGCGGUGAAAUGCGUAGAUAUCGCUUGGAACGCCGAAGGUGAAAACAGGUUGCUGGGGGAUGAUGCCGACCGGCUGAGACACGGAAAGCCAGGGGAGCAAACGGG
rnacentral:rRNA from 1 species